AGACCCGAAACCCGGUGAUCUAGCCAUGGGCAGGUUGAAGGUUGGGUAACACUAACUGGAGGACCGAACCGACUAAUGUUGAAAAAUUAGCGGAUGACCUGUGGCUGGGGGUGAAAGGCCAAUCAAACCGGGAGAUAGCUGGUUCUCCCCGAAAGCUAUUUAGGUAGCGCCUCGUGAAUUCAUCUCCGGGGGUAGAGCACUGUUUCGGCUAGGGGGCCAUCCCGGCUUACCAACCCGAUGCAAACUGCGAAUACCGGAGAAUGUUAUCACGGGAGACACACGGCGGGUGCUAACGUCCGUCGUGAAGAGGGAAACAACCCAGACCGCCAGCUAAGGUCCCAAAGUCAUGGUUAAGUGGGAAACGAUGUGGGAAGGCCCAGACAGCCAGGAUGUUGGCUUAGAAGCAGCCAUCAUUUAAAGAAAGCGUAAUAGCUCACUGGUCGAGUCGGCCUGCGCGGAAGAUGUAACGGGGCUAAACCAUGCACCGAAGCUGCGGCAGCGACACUCAGGUGUUGUUGGGUAGGGGAGCGUUCUGUAAGCCUGUGAAGGUGGCCUGUGAGGGUUGCUGGAGGUAUCAGAAGUGCGAAUGCUGACAUAAGUAACGAUAAAGCGGGUGAAAAGCCCGCUCGCCGGAAGACCAAGGGUUCCUGUCCAACGUUAAUCGGGGCAGGGUGAGUCGACCCCUAAGGCGAGGCCGAAAGGCGUAGUCGAUGGGAAACGGGUUAAUAUUCCCGUACUUGGUGUUACUGCGAAGGGGGGACGGAGAAGGCUAUGUUGGCCGGGCGACGGUUGUCCCGGUUUAAGCGUGUAGGUGUGUGUUCCAGGUAAAUCCGGUUCACUUUAACACUGAGGCGUGAUGACGAGGCACUACGGUGCUGAAGCAACAAAUGCCCUGCUUCCAGGAAAAGCCUCUAAGCAUCAGGUAACAUCAAAUCGUACCCCAAACCGACACAGGUGGUCAGGUAGAGAAUACCAAGGCGCUUGAGAGAACUCGGGUGAAGGAACUAGGCAAAAUGGUGCCGUAACUUCGGGAGAAGGCACGCUGACAUGUAGGUGAAGUGAUUUACUCAUGGAGCUGAAGUCAGUCGAAGAUACCAGCUGGCUGCAACUGUUUAUUAAAAACACAGCACUGUGCAAACACGAAAGUGGACGUAUACGGUGUGACGCCUGCCCGGUGCCGGAAGGUUAAUUGAUGGGGUCAGCGCAAGCGAAGCUCCUGAUCGAAGCCCCGGUAAACGGCGGCCGUAACUAUAACGGUCCUAAGGUAGCGAAAUUCCUUGUCGGGUAAGUUCCGACCUGCACGAAUGGCGUAAUGAUGGCCAGGCUGUCUCCACCCGAGACUCAGUGAAAUUGAACUCGCUGUGAAGAUGCAGUGUACCCGCGGCAAGACGGAAAGACCCCGUGAACCUUUACUAUAGCUUGACACUGAACAUUGAGCCUUGAUGUGUAGGAUAGGUGGGAGGCUUUGAAGUGUGGACGCCAGUCUGCAUGGAGCCGGCCUUGAAAUACCACCCUUUAAUGUUUGAUGUUCUAACGUGGACCCGUGAUCCGGGUUGCGGACAGUGUCUGGUGGGUAGUUUGACUGGGGCGGUCUCCUCCUAAAGAGUAACGGAGGAGCACGAAGGUUGGCUAAUCCUGGUCGGACAUCAGGAGGUUAGUGCAAUGGCAUAAGCCAGCUUGACUGCGAGCGUGACGGCGCGAGCAGGUGCGAAAGCAGGUCAUAGUGAUCCGGUGGUUCUGAAUGGAAGGGCCAUCGCUCAACGGAUAAAAGGUACUCCGGGGAUAACAGGCUGAUACCGCCCAAGAGUUCAUAUCGACGGCGGUGUUUGGCACCUCGAUGUCGGCUCAUCACAUCCUGGGGCUGAAGUAGGUCCCAAGGGUAUGGCUGUUCGCCAUUUAAAGUGGUACGCGAGCUGGGUUUAGAACGUCGUGAGACAGUUCGGUCCCUAUCUGCCGUGGGCGCUGGAGAACUGAGGGGGGCUGCUCCUAGUACGAGAGGACCGGAGUGGACGCAUCACUGGUGUUCGGGUUGUCAUGCCAAUGGCACUGCCCGGUAGCUAAAUGCGGAAGAGAUAAGUGCUGAAAGCAUCUAAGCACGAAACUUGCCCCGA
rnacentral:rRNA from 1 species